CUAUGUGUGCAUCCCCUCAGGCUAGGUCUCUGGAGCUAUGAACAAGUAGGAGGGGACGAAAAUCAUGCAUCGUAGUGGGCGCUAGAGUGGAGGGGUGACUGUGGAUGUUGACUGUCUCUCUUCAAGUGGGCCUGAUGUAGAUAGGAUGGGAGAGGGAGGCAGGGAUGAGGGCAAGAUUACCUGCACCAAUUGAAUUUUGUGUAGUGAUGGCCCUUGCUUCACUCAUUUCCUGCACUUGCAGAGGAAUUGUCCAGGAGCAGCAGCUGAAGGAGAAAGUGGCAGACGCGGACCUGAGGAACCUGGACGUCCUUCUAAGCAGACAUGAAUGGUCCUCAGAUUUCUGCCUCCCGCACAACUGGCUAUGAGUAAGCGUGCUGGGUUUAGUACCAAGUGGAGAGUCAGAGUCCACUCCGCACAUGCCAUGGAAAGGAAGGCUCUGCUGUGGUUAUGAGGGAGACAAGGUCCCUAUUUUCAGGGGCUGCUCAGUCCUCUGGCCAGUACCGGUGUGUCCUCUGCAGCGGAAGGUUGGAUCCAGGAGGAUGACUCCAGCUGCACUUCCAGAGGAAUUGUC